rnacentral:lncRNA from 1 species
AGAGAUCAAAUUUAUAGGUGAAACUAAAAGAGAAGUAUAGAUCUCAAGGACAUCUACAUGUUUAUGUGAGAUUUGUGUGUUGGGGAUGACUGGUUUGUCACGAAUUUGAGAAAGAAAAAAAAAUUGGGCGGCUAGAGUUUCAGUCAAGGCCGAAUCGGUAGAGAUUGAUGGAGAUUCUAAAGAUUUGAGACGUGGAUUGAGGUACAUAUUUUUACCCUUACUUGACUCCACCUGGCAGGUUUUGGCAAGAGUAAUCGAAUCAUAAUUAUGUGAAUUAAUGGGUCAAAUCAAUGAG